GCGCUGGGUGAGUUAAGGCGAUGGACUUGAAAUCCAUUGGGGUAACCUGCGUGAGUUCAAAUCUCACAGCU
rnacentral:tRNA from 1 species